GUUAUCUCAUCAUGUGCCUCAUCGGGCCCCCUCUCCUCUGUCGGUCCCCUCACUCACUGUGGUCAGCGAGCGGUCCGCCGGCUGCGAUUGGUGGAGGGGAGUCCAGAGGUCCCACUCUGUUCAAAAUCUCAGAAAACAGCAGACGAGAUGGGAAUGCGUUCUCCGUGGUUUCAGUGUUCAGACUUCGGGGUCCAGCUCUGUUAUGGCAACAGAUGAGGCCGCCGACCGUCCCCUCACUGUGAGCUGUCCCACCAGCGGCGUCACACUCAGACCCAAGAUGAGGACAAAGAUCAACAAUCUGGAAGGGGGAAAAAAAGAAGGAAUUACAAUCAUACAGUUUCCACACAUUUUUUUUUUUUUAAAAGACAGUAAACCUCCCCACACAAAAUGUUACAGAGGGUUUUUUAAUCUGGAGCUCCAGCUUGGCUGCUUGUGUAAAUAUUACAUGAUGCAUGAUAUCUUACUUAAAUGAUUUUCUCGUCGCA